GACAGAGGCCUCAAGCGUUAGGCGGAAUCACUGGGCGUAAAGGGUGCGUAGGCGGCGCGGUAAGUCGGGUGUGAAAUCUUGGAGCUUAACUCCGAAACUGCAUUCGAUACUGCCGUGCUUGAGGACUGGAGAGGAGACUGGAAUUUACGGUGUAGCGGUGAAAUGCGUAGAUAUCGUAAGGAAGACCAGUGGCGAAGGCGGGUCUCUGGACAGUUCCUGACGCUGAGGCACGAAGGUCAGGGGAGCAAACGGG
rnacentral:rRNA from 1 species